rnacentral:lncRNA from 1 species
AUCUACUUAAUCAAAUUAAAUAUAUCAUAAUGCACAAUUUAACAUUUAUCAAAACUCCAUAUCAACUUCCUCAAUUAGUUCGAGAAUUUCUGUUGCAAGAUCCUGGUCUUAAAGUCCUAGUGAAAUGAUAUCAUCUUCACAGAAUACAUAAGAAAUAUUCUCUACUAAACAGUCAAUGUUUCGCUGUCAAUUGACAGCUGACGGUUGAGGCCUUCUUCACAUAAGUAAUGAUUAAAGCAAUGACAUUGUCCUUCAAAAAUUUAAUUUCUGGUCAUUGAAUUGUCUGGCAAUUGGACCUGAUUCAAAAUUGUUUUCAGGUGAUAUAUGUAUAUUAUAGAAUUCAAAGUCUACACAACAACCACAAGUGCAAUUAAACCGACAGUUACUGCAACACUGAUAUAAAGGUUUUGUGCUGUUCACAUGGUUACCUUGUUCAAGAAGCUCAUCAUUGUCUAGCACAAAAUAUAUAGUUAACUCAACUC